rnacentral:ncRNA from 1 species
CCUGCGGAGAGUACUAGAACUUGUAAGUAGUGUUUGAAAAUUCAGAUAUGAAAGCAUACUCAAUGAAACAGGAA